rnacentral:lncRNA from 1 species
GGAAGACAGAACCAAGGUAUCAUAAUCCAGAAAAACUAAUCCGGGUGAAAAAAAGGCAAACAGGCACCAAGCAGUCUUACAUGGAGUCAACCAAGGACCCUACAAGGUCACUUUCAGGCCAAAAUGGACCAGAUUCUGGAGGGGCUCAAGGGUGACAGCAAAGCAGAUGGCAUUGUAGUCUUUUGCAAAAGGGGCGUGGAGGAGCCGAUAAUCCUCCACAGCUGGUGCUGCAGGUGGACGCACCUGCUGACAAUUUUCCAUCAGGAACAGAGCACCCGUCUGCCAGCGUCGGAGUGUUUCAUUCUCUCUAACCCUGACUCCUGGUUUGUUCAAAAGAGUUUCCUGGCUAACUUUGUCACUCGAUCGAGGUCUCCAUGCCUACCUGCGGACAUGAACUGCUCGCCGGACUGAUCCUCCGCAUUGGCUCCACGCUGGACCGAAUGAGAGAUUCUCCGAACGACCCAGCAGAACCCUGUGCAUCUCGAAUAAAGUCUCUUUUAGGACACUAUUCUGCACUGCAUGUUGCCUGCUUUUGGGACAACCUGUUCU